UUUUCACUUUCAAAGGUCAACAGCCUUCAGUAGGAUGAGCACUCAAAAACUGUACUUCUCUGGACAAGCAAAGAAAGUGACACCUUUUUUAUUAUGCCAGUUUGAAAGGAAUGAAUAACUUUAAAAGAAAGAAAUGCUCUUUAAUUUUAAAACAGGCUUUGAAAAGUGCAAUGGAAUGUUUCAGGUUUUAUCAAAAACUUCAGCUACCCCGGGAACCUGAAAGGUAUCUUGAUCACAGCAACAAAAAUCCAACUGACACAAAAAGAAAAUAAAGGGACAUACCUGAUGUCAUGCAUGCCAUUCCCACCAUUGGUGCUGUACACUCACAUCAAGAGGAGCCCUGGAUGUGCCAAGACAUCAUGCAAAGCAAGCUAUUCAUACCCAUGUUCUACAGUGGUUGACAAGAACUCCCCAGGUAGAGAGCCCAUCCAAGGGAAUACCUUGCUCUCUGCCAUCACAUGAUGCUCCAGACUUGGAAGAAUUUGACCAACUUUCUUCAAGAGAGAAGCUGUCUACACCCGUGGUCUUCUGAAAGACAGACUGAUCAUUCUCUAUUAGACUAACAUCCACUGAAUUGGAAGCAGUUAAAUGUAUUGCUUCUUCCAAAGAUUUUUAAGUUUGUCCAGGAAACAUUUUAAAGUUUCUUCUAGAUGUAGCUUUUACUUCAAUUUAGAAAUAAGUUGCAUAUAAUAGAAAUUUUGACACCAUGAUCAACUAUAGAGACCUGUUGCUUCAAGAGAUCUUAUCUUUAUAAAAAAUAUCACUCGAGACAAACUGUGGUUUCCUGUUUAAGCCUGCCCCUUCUUCCUGUAUUUUUUCCUGAGUGAUUUUUUAUUAUUGCAAGAAAAUACACAUAAUGUAAAAUAUAACAUCUCUACCAUUUUAACUAUUGUAAAAAGCUCAAAUCAAUGACAUUAGAUAGAUACACAAUUGUACAACCUUCACGAUUUUCUAUUCCAGAACAUUUUUUUAUUAUCCCAAGAAGAACCCCCAAAUCCAUUAAAUAAGCUAUCCUCAUCCCAAGGUAACCAUUAAUCUA